UUGAAACACCGGUUGACAUACGAUCACUAAAGUUAAGCAACAUCAAGUCUGGUCAGUACUUAGAUGGGGGACCACUUGGGAAUGCCAGGUGCUGUAAG